UCAAACAAGUACCGUUUUUGGCAAUCAGUAGAGCUAGCUUCUAUUACUCAGAUUGACGACAGCAAUCAAUUUGAAUACAGGUGGCUAGCUGAACUGGAGCAUCCAAACGCCGCACUCUCCAGUAUGAGGAGGGCGAUGGAUCGAGGUUGGAUGAGUCAACCAAGAACUAGUGUUGCUUACAAAGAUGGUGUCGGGCAAUUUCUGUCUUUUGCAUUCCAUGAUGUUCCAGCUGGUGAUAGAAUUAUCUGUCCUUGUGUAAAUUGCCGAAAUAAAGCUAGAGGAUGAGUUUGGGUUCAUUCUUGUGAACAAGUCUCGGGAAAUACACACAGGAGAUCAGUUAGAGGAUGAUCCUUUUGUAUUUUCUUCCCAAGUGCAGCAGGUUUUCUAUGUUCAAGAUCCAAAAGCUGAAUUAUGGAAUGUAGUAGUGGAAGUCAGGCCUCGUGACCUUUUUGACAUGGGUGAUGAAGAAUCAUCAGAUGAAACAGAUUA